rnacentral:rRNA from 1 species
UACGUAGGGUGCAAGCGUUGUCCGGAAUUAUUGGGCGUAAAGAGCUCGUAGGCGGUCUGUCGCGUCGGCUGUGAAAACCCGCGGCUCAACCGCGGCCUGCAGCCGAUACGGGCAGGCUGGAGUUCGGUAGGGAGACUGGAAUUCCUGGUGUAGCGGUGAAAUGCGCAGAUAUCAGGAGGAACACCGAUGGCGAAGGCAGCUCGCUGGGACGGUACUGACGCUGAGACGCGAAGCGUGGGAGCAAACAGG